AUGAACGUUGGCGGCGUGGAUUAGGCAUGCAAGUCGAGCGAGAACCUUCUUUCGGGAAGGGGACAGCGGCGUAAGGGACAGUAAUACGUAGAUCACCUACCCUCGGGUCCAGGAUAGCUGCGGGAAACUGCAGGUAAUACUGGAUAACGUCUUCGGACCAAAGGUGUGAUUCCGUCCGGGGAUGGGUCUGCGUCCUAUUAGCUAGUUGGUGGGGUAACGGCCUACCAAGGCAAUGAUGGGUAGCGGGUGUGAGAGCACGACCCGCGUCACUGGGACUGAGACACUGCCCAGACACCUACGGGUGGCUGCAGUCGAGGAUCUUCGGCAAUGGGCGCAAGCCUGACCGAGCGACGCCGCGUGUGGGAUGAAGGCCUUCGGGUUGUAAACCACUGUCAGAGGGGAUGAAAUGCGCGCGGGUUCUCUCGCGCGUUUGACAUAUCCUCAGAGGAAGUACGGGCUAAGUUCGU
rnacentral:rRNA from 1 species